GAUAAGAGCUCGAAGUAGACUUUGUUUAUAAUAAGGGUUUAAAGUGGCCAAAUCGUCUCAAUAAGGUCUUGAAGUGGUUGGAUGUCUCCUAAAGAGUAACGAAGGUGUAUGAAGGUAGGCUUAAGCUAAGAUUCUACUUGUGAGCGUAAUGGUACAAGCUUGCCUGAUUGUGAGACCGACUGGUCGAACAUAGAUGAAAGUCAGCCAUAAUGAUCUAGGAGUCCCAUGUGGAAGGGCUCUCACUCAACAGAUCAAAGGUACACUAGGGAUAAUAGGUUGAUGAUUCCCAAGAGCUAUUAUCGACAAAGUCGUUUGGCAUCUCAAUGUUGACUCAUCACAUCCUAGAGGUGAAAAAGGUUCCCAAGGGUUCGGUUGUUCACUGAUCAUAGUGGAAGAAAAUAAAUUUCCAUUUCCCCUAGUAAGACUCU
rnacentral:ncRNA from 1 species